UCCAGACUCUCUUGCACGAUAUUCUGGAUCGGACAGGAUUUUUUUUCGAAAACUCAAAUCUCCGUGACGACCAAAGUCUAGUCUGCAUCAUCCUGUACGACCUCCAGAGCCGGAAGUUCCAGAGACGCACGGCUCUGCCCGGUGAAGAGCUGGACGGCCUGUGCGGCGAGAUCGAGGAGGCGCUGCUGAAUCUGAAGACCCGCAUCCUGUCGGUGAUCGCCAAGGAGCGGAUCAAGAACAAUGCCCCGUCCAUCGAGUACCUGCUGCCCGAGCACGUCAGGAACAAGGAUGAGACCAAGUGCAAAACGCCCGUCUAUUUGUGGGUCAACCAGUUCAAAACGAGCGUGGAGGAAAUUGUUGAAGCCCUUAAAAUGGACGGCUACUCGGUACUCGAACCCGGGCUGGACAUCACCGAAGAGACUGGGGAUGUUUUCAAAAUCGACGAACAUUGCUCGGAUCUCCUGGUCUUUCAACCUCACCUGCAGCUGAAGCUGAAGGAGUCGGACUACGUCAAGGCCGGUGCCUUGGUGCUGCAGGACAAGUCCAGCUGUCUGGCCCCACAGUCCGUACAUUACCUGCUGGGUCUGGAACAGGACGUCAUCCACGUCAACAUCGGCACAGGUAUGUCCACGGCACACCUGGCCAGCCUGCUGCGCAAGAAGUCCCCCCACAGCCACAUCUGGGGGUUCGCCAACGACAGCCCGGAGAAAGCCAGGAAAGCGCUCAAGAAUUUGGAGUUCUUGGGCGUCAAAAAUACGAAAGUACUGAUGGAUAAUUUUAUGGAUGUUGAUCCAGAGGAUACAAGGUUCAAAAACGUCAAGGUCAUUUUAAUCUCGACCAACUGCAGCAAAUCCGCCAUCACCAGCCCUGUCCAAUUUAUAGUCAGUGAAGGAGAAGAUAUGAAAGUUCUUGGAGAACUGUCUAAGGCCGACUCUAGUGCAACCCAUAUCGGCAACCUGAAGUUAGAACACGAACAACUGUUAAAACAAGCCCUCAAAUUUCCCAAAGUUCAGGCCGUUGUGUACACCACCCGCUCCCGCUACGAGGCUGAGAACGAGUCGGUGGUGACCAGGGUCUUGGAGUACAUCAAUAUGACGUCAGCCAACAAGAAGGCACCGUUCAGGGUUACCCCUCCAGUGUUACCUUUCUCUGGUGAUGAGAUUGACACGGGCGAGAGUGGAGUUGAUGGACGGUUUGUUCGAUUUUUGCCUUCAUCCAAAGCCAACGGCUGUUUUGUUGCUGUUAUAUCAAGGGAGCCCCAGGAUCCUAAGGAAGUGGCCAGGAACACGAUAGCCAAGGCCAGGUCAAAGGGCAUGCUGGGCAAAGGUCAAGGCGCGGAGGUGAACGGCGAAGGCGACGACACGAGCAAGUCGGAGGCUUCGCGGAAACACCACGGGAAAUCCUCGGCCUCGGAAGUGACCAGCCUCAAGGUCAAGGUCUCAAGUCACAAAUCUGCGGCCGCCAUCGGCGCCAGGCUGUACCAGGCCGGUCUCCUGUCUAAGAUGCAGCAGGUCAAGCUCAAGGCCCACAAGCCUGAGCAUGUCAAGGUCGUCAAGCACCCCGCCCCCUUCAGCGAACCAACUGAGAAUUAGGCGGCGGAUGGAAUGGUUUGGAUUUCUUGUCCACAAUUAGCUAGAACCUAGAGGUUGAAAUGGCAUAUCAUGAUACCAGUAUCCAGUUUGUUCAUUAGAGUACUGGCCCCUCUCUUACCCUGAGCCUCAGAAUGGAACGUUUAAAAAGUUGAUCCGACAUUUGCAAGUAUGUCGAUAUAAAUAUAAAAUGUAGAUCUAUAUCUGAACUGAUACAACUUGAAUUUUUAAACUUUUCGUAAAUUACAUUUUUAAAAUUCAACCUUCUCGUUGAAGAAAUAAAUUGU